rnacentral:rRNA from 1 species
UACAGAGGUCCCAAGCGUUGUUCGGAUUCACUGGGCGUAAAGGGUGCGUAGGUGGUGAGGUAAGUCUGAUGUGAAAUCUCCGAGCUCAACUCGGAAAUGGCAUUGGAAACUACUUGGCUAGAGGAGUGGAGGGGGGACUGGAAUUCUCGGUGUAGCAGUGAAAUGUGUAGAGAUCGAGAGGAACACCAGUGGCGAAGGCGAGUCCCUGGACACUUCCUGACGCUGAGGCACGAAAGCUAGGGGAGCAAACAGG